CAUGGCCGUCGUCAGUUCGUACUGUGAAGCAUCCUGUUAAGUCAGGCAACGAGCGAGACCCACGCCAACAGUUGCCAGCUCGGUCCUCCGGGGAUGGUGGGGACACUGUUGGGACCGCCUCUGCUAAAGAGGAGGAAGGAAUGGGCAACGGUAGGUCAGCAUGCCCCGAAUUAUCUGGGCUACGACGCGGGCUACAAUGGGUGGGACAAUGGGUAUCGACACCGAAAGGUGAAGGCAAUCUCCUAAACCCAUCCGUAGUUCGGAUUGUGGGCUGCAACUCGCCCACAUGAAGCUGGAAUCUGUAGUAAUCGUGUCUCAAAAUGGCACGGUGAAUAUGUCCCUGCUCCUU
rnacentral:rRNA from 1 species